UUUUCGUAGGUGAACCUGCGGAAGGAUCAUUACUGAGUGAGGGCCCUCUGGGUCCAACCUCCCACCCGUGUUUAUUGUACCUUGUUGCUUCGGUGAGCCCGCCUCACGGCCGCCGGGGGGCAUCUGCCCCCGGGCCCGCGCUCGCCGCAGACACCCUUGAACUCUGUCUGAAGUUUGCAGUCUGAGCGAAAACUAAAUAAGUUACAACUUUCAACAACGGAUCUCUUGGUUCCG
rnacentral:misc_RNA from 1 species